rnacentral:rRNA from 1 species
UACCCGCCGGAAUUAAGCAUAUAAUUAAGCGGAGGAAAAGAAACUAACUAGGAUUCCCUCAGUAACGGCGAGUGAAGCGGGACUAGCUCAGGAUGUUAAUCUGCGCUUUUUGGCGCCGAAUUGUGGUCUAUAGACUUUGACGUUAUCUGCCGGGCCAAGUUCCUUGGAAAAGGACAGCUGAGAGGGUGACACUCCCGUCCGCCUGGUAGAAUGAGUCUUUGUCAACGAGUCGAGUUGUUUGGGAUUGCAGCUCUAAUUUGGUGGUAAAUUCCAUCUAAAGCUAAAUAUUGGUGGGAGACCGAUAGCGUACAAGUACCGUGAGGGAAAGAUGCAAAGAACUUUGAAAAGAGAGUUAAAGAGUACCUGAAAUUGCUGAAACGGAAGCGAAGGAAACCAGUGUUUGUUGGUUCAUAUUUCCCUUGCCACUUGUGGUGUGGGCGCUGUGAGCUUGCGUGGGUUUGCUUUGGUUGAUCCCUUUGGAAGAGCGCAGUCAGAGUUGAUGUCUGUUGCUAGCACUGGUUUGACUAAAGCAGACG